GAUACAGUUAUUAAGGACUCACGGUGGAUGCCUUGGCACUAGAAGACAAAGAAGGACG
rnacentral:rRNA from 1 species